rnacentral:rRNA from 1 species
GCCAUAAUUAUAGCCCACCCCAUGAACAACUAAUGUGCAAUACAAAUAAACACACACAAACUAAAACAUUUUAUUUCUUAAGUAUAGGUGAUAAAAAAGGAUCAAAGAGCAAUAAACAAGUACCGCAAGGGAAAUAUGAAAUAGAAAUGAAAAAUUAACAAAAGCAAGUAAAAGCAGAGAUUCAAUCUCGUACCUUUUGCAUCAUGGUCUAGCAAGUCAAAUUCAAGCAAAACGCAUUUAAGUUUGACUCCCCGAAACUAAGUGAGCUACUCCGAGGCAGCUAAUUGAGCAAACCCCUCUCUGUGGCAAAAGAGUGGAAAGACCUCCGAGUAGGGGUGACAGACCUAACGAACUUAGUGAUAGCUGGUUGCUUAAGAAAAGAAUAUAAGUUCUACUCUAAGCAUUUUUAACACCAACAAGUAACCAUUAUGCUUAGAAGCUAUUCAAUAAAGGUACAGCUUUAUUGAAUUAGGGCACAGCCUAUAAUCCCGGGUAAUGACUAUAAUAACUAAGGCUAUCAAACUGGUAGGCCUAAAAGCAGCCACCCAUAAAGAAAGCGUCAAAGCUCACCUGAACAUGAACCAAAAAUUCAAGUAUAACAUCCCAACCCUUAAUCAGUAUUAAGCUAUUCUAUAACAAUAUAGAAUUAACUAUGCUAGAACUAGUAACAAGGGUAAAACACCCUCCAAAAUGCAAGUGUAAAUCAGAUUGAAUAACUCGCUGAUAUUUAACGAAAAGAACAUAUUGUAGCAACCAUACAAGAAAACCCUACAAAACUCCACCGUUAACCUAACACAAGAGCAUUAAUGGAAAGAUUAAAAAGAGCAUAAGGAACUCGGCAAAACUAAGCCCCGCCUGUUUACCAAAAACAUCGCCUCUUGCAAACAAACCACAUAUAAGAGGUCUAGCCUGCCCAGUGACAUAUGUUCAACGGCCGCGGUAUUUUGACCGUGCAAAGGUAGCGUAAUCACUUGUCUUUUAAAUAAAGACUAGUAUGAAAGGCAUCACGAGGGCUUAACUGUCUCAUGCACUAGAUCAGUGAAACUAACCUCCCCGUGCAGAGGCGGGGAUGCUAACAUAAGACGAGAAGACCCUAUGGAGCUUAAAAUUAAUAACCAAUUGCUACUUACUCAACCUUCGGGGUUAACAAUCAAGGCAACACAUGGUUACAAAUUUUCGAUUGGGGCGAUCAAGGAGAAUAAAAAAUCCUCAACGAAGAACAGAAUAACACCUUUAACCAAGAAAUACAGCUCUAAGUAAUAGAACAUCUAACUAUCAUUGAUCCAGUAAAUCUGAUCAACGAACCAAGUUACCCUAGGGAUAACAGCGCAAUCCACUUUGAAAGUUCACAUUAACAAGUGGGUUUACGACCUCGAUGUUGGAUCAGGGCAUCCCGGGGGUGCAGCCGCUUCCAAAGGUUCGUUUGUUCAACGAUUAAAGCCCUACGUGAUCUGAGUUCAGACCGGAGAAAUCCAGGUCAGUUUCUAUCUAUGCGGAGCCUUCUUCAGUACGAAAGGACCAAGAAAGCAUGGCCAAUGCAAAAGCAAGCCAUAACCUAUAAAUCAAUGACUAAUCUCAAUUGAAUAGCCCCCAAAAACCUAAACCAAGAUAAGGACUU